CCACACAGGCCCUCAGAGCCCCCACCUCCCAAGGCUUCCAACUUCUCUGUGCAGCCCGAGGCGGCAGCAGGAGGGGGUCCGUCCCUCUCGGUCUUUAAAAAUUUAAAUAUAUAAAUAGGACUUUGGAAACGACUUUUAAAUUUGGGGGGGUACGUUUGAAAAAUUAUUGCGUUUCAACGUCUCACUUCCAUUAUUAUUUUUUUUUUUUUCCCACAGCAGGAUUCCAGGGACACAUUUACGACCGUCAUAAUUGUGAGUUAGAGAUCUCCCAGGCCAAGUGAAAUGAAAUUACGAGAAACUGAAAUCUGUUUUAAUUGGAGCAUUUAUGGAAAAAAGAAGUCAGACUGGCUGCUUUUUCCUUUAUGUGACUCUUCGGUUCAUGGCUCUACCUGCGUCCGGAAACCAGGGCUGGCGAAACUUGGGCCGUGACAGAGCAGGGAGGAAAGGAGAGAGAGGAGAAUGAGGGAGAGACAGCCCUGCCCCUCCACGGCCACCCGGCAGGCUGUGCCUACCCGGCACUUCCUCCUCUUUUCCAGGAAACACUUCUUACUUACCAUUCCCCUGAGCUCCGGCGUUGACUCUCGGAGACGCCGUGGAGAAGGCGAGCUUGACUUCUGUGCUCAGAAGAUG
rnacentral:lncRNA from 1 species